AACAAUAACCCGGACAAGCUUCUCCUCGCGACGUGUUAUCACGUUUGCUACUGUGGCAACAAAUUACCCGAGGAUAAAGGAGAAGCUCACCAAAUACUUACCGAUGACAGCAAAAACAAGAACUCGCGUACUCGUACGGCGAGCUUCUGGAGUAUAACUAAAAGAGAAAGGAAAGAAGAGCAAAGUCAAAAAGACGUAGAAGAAAGGAACGAAGAGAGCGAGGAGAGGAAAGCUGAUGAAGAAAACUGCAGCAAUAUAGUACAGCAAAGAUAAUACAUUACGAAGAAAUCAAACUGGGACCAUUUUUGUGGGGGAAAUAUAACGAUAGAUGCGACAUUUGUUUCGUCGAAGGUCCUGAUGUUAAAUGCGAGUGCUCGACCCCUGAUGUUAAUCACAAAAUGCCAAUACUCACGAAGAGGGAAAUUGUCAAG